rnacentral:rRNA from 1 species
AUGGCGGCAAAGAAACAACUCUUUCGCUUUGGGUCUUUCGCGAUAAAGGACGGGUCAGAGAUUCGUUUCUGGGAAGACAUCUGGCUAGGCAAUGCCAGUCUCCGAGAACAAUAUCCAGCCUUGUACAACAUUGCUCGCGAUAAAAACAAUACAAUUGCGCAGGUGCUCAGCGCAUCCCCGCCGAAUAUUUCAUUUAGGCGGGAUUUGGUUGGCGUCCGACUUAUGUCAUGGCAAAAUCUCUUAUCCCGUCUGGAUCUGAUUAACCUGACGCAAGGCCGUGAUGUGUUUCGCUGGAACCUUACUACAUCAGGGUCUUUCACGGUA